rnacentral:rRNA from 1 species
UACGUAGGGCGCAAGCGUUAUCCGGAAUUAUUGGGCGUAAAGAGCUCGUAGGCGGUUUGUCGCGUCUGCCGUGAAAGUCCGGGGCUCAACUCCGGAUCUGCGGUGGGUACGGGCAGACUAGAGUGAUGUAGGGGAGACUGGAAUUCCUGGUGUAGCGGUGAAAUGCGCAGAUAUCAGGAGGAACACCGAUGGCGAAGGCAGGUCUCUGGGCAUUAACUGACGCUGAGGAGCGAAAGCAUGGGGAGCGAACAGA